GCCAGCUUCCCCGUGGGCUUUGAAGAUGCAAACUCCAAUCCUAUCAGUACGGGUUGGUUUCUGCCUGCUCCCGGUGCUUUAAAAGUAUGACUGGGGAGAAGGAAGCGCGUGAGGGUGGCUGUCAUGCCGUGGUCCUGCUGGCUGCUGGCUGCUGCUCUUUGCCAUGGCAACAGUUGUGUUGUCUUUAUUGCUUUCAAUCUUUUCACAUUCUUGCUGUGCUUCCUCUUGAUUUGCUGACACAGGCUGUCACUUAGCAGUAAUAAAGCUGUCAAUGGUAUCAGCGACCAAUCUUUUAAUAUGGUAUCAGAAAGUCUGACAAGAGCAUAGGGGUGCCGGAUUUCCAAUGACAAGUUAAUUUAUUCAAAGCACUCUGAACAUUAUUUCCAUUCCUAUGGCACGCAAAUGAUGCCCAGCAAGGCUGGUGUCUGCUGGAUGGGAUGCAGACGGCGGAAGAAUUUGGCACGCGGUGAUCCUGUAGGUAUUCCAUGGGCUGAAAGCAGAAUUAACUCACUAGUGCGAGGGGAAGAUGCAGAUCCAUGCCCUUGUAUCCUCUCAGAGAUCUCCCCUAUUGCCAGAGGAAAAGCUCCAGCUGUAGUGCAGAGGCCUGGCAUCACUUUACCUCUUGGAGCACAUUAGAUUGUGUGAGAGGAUCAGCAUUGCUUCUGGUGGUGGUUUAAUUAUGGACAUUUGAGAAGCACAGUUUUCUGACUGCUUUGACCAAUCAUAAAGUCAGCACUUCAAAGAAAGAUCUUCAGAUACUAGAUGUAACCUUUUCAUCUCAGCACAGCAAAGCCAAGGAAUCGGGAUACGAGACAGCUCCUGAAGCUAGGUGCUCACCCCGGGCUCUGCAUUGUGUGUCCAGCCACUGGAAGGAGCAGCUUUCACUUCAGGCUUUUCAGUAGGACCCAACCUUCAUCUGCUGUGGGAGUUUUUUUCAGCCUCAGAACAAAGCAAACCCCUUUUGAACUCUGAGAGUCUUCUCCAGGAUAGAAGAGUCCCCAAGUGUUAAUGCACAACAUAUUAAUACAGGGGAAAAAGAUUCCUUAGUCUCUUUUUAAAUGUUGUGUUUCUGUUGGAAGUUUCCAAAGGAAAUCUACCUGAGAGAAAUACCGAGGAUAGAAAGUAAAACUGGGUAUAAUAAUUUGCAAUAGUAAAUCUGAGGAUAUUUUUAGCUGCAUGCAUUGCUAUCCGUGGAGCCUAUCAAAACAAGAGCCCGUUUCAUCCCUCCUGUGUUUGAUGGUUCGUGUGAGAUGUUUGUGGACCAAUAUUGCAGUCAGAAAAAUGCAACCUCUUGUGAGAUGGUCACAGCACUGGGCAACAUUUCUGUUCAAGAAAUGAAAAUAGAAAAAUGCAUCAAGUGCAUCUUUGGAGUAAACUUUAGGUAGGCAGUUAAAUAUUCAGCUGGAAUGCAUUCAGGAUUACAGCCGUCUGUGGAAAACAAGUACAAUCAACCUAAAAUGCUGGAAGAGACUUUUCAUUUCUCUUUUCAUAUUUUGUUCAAAAAUAUUAAAGCAAUUCAGAGGAAAUAAUUCAAGUCUGUAAAAAUCUGUAUUGAAAGAAAAGAAAAUCACAUAACAGCUGUAGCUGAAACAAUGCUUUUGACGUAGAACACUUCUGAGAUAAUUAAGCUAAAUAUUCAGACUGUGUGUGUGUGCCUCUAGGCAAGCAUUUAAUCAUCUGUUUUUUUUGUUGUUACUGUAAGGGUAGUUAUUUAUGGUAAUUUGCCAGUGAUGAGUGGAAAGCAGUGCUGCUAAUCUUCAUCUUCCUUCCCUGUUCUGCUAGGCGUGCUGAAAUGCAGAUAACACACUCUGGUGUAUUAAUCUUGUGAAAGGAUUUAUGGUCACUGUUCUUACUGAUGCUAAUGGAGAUAACGUACAUUCACAAAUCUUGCAAGCCUCCAGAUGGUAGCCUGCUUUCUAGCAAAAGAUUUGGUUGGAUAAUAUUGAGAAAUUUACAAUUAUUUGCUACUAACUGGAGGUUCCCUGGAUAACCCAUGUAAUCUGAAGAUGCUUUGGUAAAAAUAACCAGGUUAUAGAGUAUGGCAAGUGGUUUCUCUCCAUGGUCCAAAUUCCACAAUAGCAGGCCUACUCUACCCAGAGGCUAACAUCCCAGCCUGGCACCCUGGUCUAUUCUUUGUGAGGCAGGCAAUGGAAAGCAACCAGGACAAACAGAUCUCCCUGGCAGCAGGCUAAGCAACUGCCAAGAGAUUAUAGCAGAUCCUUGCCAUGAGCUCAUCCAUAUGUAAACUCAUGCACACUUUUCCUGCCCUGCUGAAGAUGCUCUCAGGAGGAAAGGACUGAACUCUAAUCUCAGUAGUGAUGUGUCCUGGUCCAGGCCGUACUGCGGCCCACUCUCGGCCCUGUGCCAUCAUAGCAGCAGCUCUUCCUGCCCUCACCUGGCCCUGGGUGCACACGCAUAGCUAACAACGAAACAUCAUUGUGUGACUGGCACUGUCUGGGCUGGAGCCAGGGCACACAGGGGGUGCAGUGCAGUGCUAACUCAAGUUAUGGGAAAUAACAGUAUGCGUUGUGAUACACUGGCUAAACACAGUCCUGUGAACAGACAAAAAUAUGCCGCCGUGCUUUCCAUUCGGAUACAGGAAAUUGGGAAUAGGUAUUGAGAUUGCUGAAAACGCAAUCAAUUUGUGUUUGUGACUCCAUUUUCAGUCUCUAUAAAUACAUUACCUGCAAAUUCUCAAAUGCAUGCAUAGAGCUGCAAUCAGAUAUUCAACUCAAAAAUCUGAUCUUGUCACUUUACCAGACUUUUCUAAGCCCUCUCUUACCAGAGCAAACUACCCCUCUCUUGACAAUCACACCUUGUUCAUGUCAUAGCUUUUUGGCAGUAUGUACAUUUGUGAACAGUUGUCAAGGAUGAAGUACAGGAAGAGUAAAAUUUCAUAAAAAAUCAGUGAAGAACACCUGAGACCUCACCACAAAUUGCAACCACUGCCAUCAAACCAGGCAGAUGCAUUAGUUACACAAAAACGUGGUCAUAUAUCCCACUAGUUUUAUGGUUUUGUUGUUCUUUUUUAAUGUUUUAAUAAAAAUACUAAAAAAUAACUUUUUAUUACUUAUAUAUUAACUAUUGUAUAUUUUACAAGGGCUCUGAAAGUAAUGUCUCCUGUUUUAUGAUGUUGUCCACGAUGUCCGAAGAGGAUGUUGUUGGUAUGGCAGUAGAGGUUGUACCUUCCCACCAAUAUUCCUUAAGUGUUGUUGCUGUGUGACAGAGGCAGCAGAGGUGCAGUCUGACAAAAUGGUGCCUGACAUGGAAGUGUGUAUGGAACAAAGCUGUCACUGAAUUCCUACACAGUGGUACUCAUUGGCAUUCAUUGAUGCUUGCUAAAUGUUUAUGGAGACCAAACAGUGAAUGUAAGCAAAGUGAAGUGGUGCAUUUCAGCAAUGGUGACAGUGACCAUGGGUCUCCUCCACUGAUGCAAGUUUUGUCAGUUGCACCAUGAAGACUUGUGUUCAUCACUGGCAAAAAUGCAUUGCUAGUGGCAGUAACUAUGUUGAAAAACAGUGUUUUGUGGUUGAGAAUUUGCUCUAUCAAGUAGUAGUGUUGUGCCCUUUGUAUCUGUUGUAGUUUCUAUGCAAAUACAACAGAAGGUGUUACUUUCGAAGCAACCUAUGUAUAUGUAUAUUCCUCUUCACUCAAUGCAGCCCAGGCAAGCCAAAAGAUUGCUUAGAGCUUCCUGGGUUGGGAUGGUCCUGAAGCACAGUCUCUACAGAUGCCUGAACCUCUAGCUUCUCAUCCAGGAGAACAGGCGUGGACCAUGCAUGAGGUAGCUGAACUGCAGUGAAACCCACAGCUUUGUCGUUUGCUUCUUCAGGCAGAUAAGUGAAUCAACAAAUAUCUUUGAUUCAACCACUAAACAGUAUCUUUAUAGCAAUACUUUUUAAUGUCUGUAAGCCUAAUUAAUUUCUUAAGUAUAUAGUUUUUG
ensembl:lncRNA